GACGAACGCUGGCGGCGUGCCUAAUACAUGCAAGUUGAGCGCUGAAGGUUGGUCCUUGUACCAACUGGAUGAGCAGCGAACGGGUGAGUAACGCGUGGGGAAUCUGCCUUUGAGCGGGGGACAACAUUUGGAAACGAAUGCUAAUACCGCAUAAAAACUUUAAACACAAGUUUUAAGUUUGAAAGAUGCAAUUGCAUCACUCAAAGAUGAUCCCGCGUUGUAUUAGCUAGUUGGUGAGGUAAAGGCUCACCAAGGCGAUGAUACAUAGCCGACCUGAGAGGGUGAGCGGCCGCAUUGGGAGUGAGACACGGCCCAAACUCCCACGGGAGGCGGCAGUAGGGAAUCUUCGGCAAUGGACGAAAGUCUGACCGAGCAACGCCGCGUGAGUGAAGAAGGUUGUCGGAUCGUAAAACUCUGUUGGUAGAGAAGAACGUUGGUGAGAGUGGAAAGCUCAUCAAGUGACGGUAACUACCCAGAAAGGGACGGCUAACUACGUG
rnacentral:rRNA from 1 species